UCCUGGCUCAGAUUGAACGCUGGCGGCAUGCCUUACACAUGCAAGUCGAACGGCAGCGGGCCUUCGGGUGCCGGCGAGUGGCGAACGGGUGAGUAAUGCAUCGGAACGUGCCAUUGAGUGGGGGAUAACGUAGCGAAAGUUGCGCUAAUACCGCAUAUUCUGUGAGCAGGAAAGCAGGGGACCGCAAGGCCUUGCGCUCUUUGAGCGGCCGAUGUCAGAUUAGCUAGUUGGUGAGGUAAAGGCUUACCAAGGCGACGAUCUGUAGCGGGUCUGAGAGGAUGAUCCGCCACACUGGAACUGAGACACGGUCCAGACUCCUACGGGAGGCAGCAGUGGGGAAUUUUGGACAAUGGGGGCAACCCUGAUCCAGCCAUGCCGCGUGAGUGAAGAAGGCCUUAGGGUUGUAAAGCACUUUCAAUUGGGAGGAAAACCUGUCGGUCAAUACCCGGCAGCUUGACAUUACCUUUAGAAGAAGCACCGGCUAACUCCGUGCAGCAGCCGCGGU
rnacentral:rRNA from 1 species